rnacentral:rRNA from 1 species
UAUGGCGACCGGCGCACGGGUGAGUAGCACGUAUCCAACCUGCCGAUGACUCGGGGAUAGCCUUUCGAAAGAAAGAUUAAUACCCGAUGGCAUAGUUCUUCCGCAUGGUAGAACUAUUAAAGAAUUUCGGUCAUCGAUGGGGAUGCGUUCCAUUAGGUUGUUGGCGGGGUAACGGCCCACCAAGCCUUCGAUGGAUAGGGGUUCUGAGAGGAAGGUCCCCCACAUUGGAACUGAGACACGGUCCAA